rnacentral:rRNA from 1 species
GUGGGGAAUAUUGGACAAUGGGCGCAAGCCUGAUCCAGCAAUUCCGCGUGAGCGAAGAAGGCCUUCGGGUUGUAAAGCUCUUUCGGCGGGGACGAUAAUGACGGUACCCGCAGAAGAAGCCCCGGCUAACUCCGUGCCAGCAGCCGCGGUAAUACGGAGGGGGCUAGCGUUGUUCGGAAUCACUGGGCGUAAAGCGCACGUAGGCGGCUACUCCAGUCAGAGGUGAAAGCCCGGGGCUCAACUCCGGAAUUGCCUUUGAAACUAGGUAGCUUGAACGUCGGAGAGGUAAGUGGAAUUCCGAGUGUAGAGGUGAAAUUCGUAGAUAUUCGGAAGAACACCAGUGGCGAAGGCGACUUACUGGACGACUGUUGACGCUGAGGUGCGAAAGCGUGGGGAGCAAACAGGAUUAGAAACCCCUGUAGUCC